UAGGGAAUCUUCGGCAAUGGACGAAAGUCUGACCGAGCAACGCCGCGUGAGUGAAGAAGGUUUUCGGAUCGUAAAACUCUGUUGUUAGAGAAGAACAAGGACGUUAGUAACUGAACGUCCCCUGACGGUAUCUAACCAGAAAGCCACGGCUAACUACGUGCCAGCAGCCGCGGUAAUACGUAGGUGGCAAGCGUUGUCCGGAUUUAUUGGGCGUAAAGCGAGCGCAGGCGGUUUCUUAAGUCUGAUGUGAAAGCCCCCGGCUCAACCGGGGAGGGUCAUUGGAAACUGGGAGACUUGAGUGCAGAAGAGGAGAGUGGAAUUCCAUGUGUAGCGGUGAAAUGCUUAGAUAUUUGGAGGAACACCAGUGGCGAAGGCGGCUCUCUGGUCUGUAACUGACGCUGAGGCUCGAAAGCGUGGGGAGCAAACAGG
rnacentral:rRNA from 1 species